AUAUUGCACAAUGGGGAAAACCCUGAUGCAGCGACGCCGCGUGAGUGAAGAAGUAAUUCGUUAUGUAAAGCUCUAUCAGCAGGGAAGAAAGUGACGGUACCUGACUAAGAAGCACCGGCUAAAUACGUGCCAGCAGCCGCGGUAAUACGUAUGGUGCAAGCGUUAUCCGGAUUUACUGGGUGUAAAGAGAGCGUAGACGGAUAGGCAAGUCUGGAGUGAAAACCCGGGGCUCAACCCCGGGACUGCUUUGGAAACUGUUUAUCUAGAGUGCUGGAGAGGUAAGUGGAAUUCCUAGUGUAGCGGUGAAAUGCGUAGAUAUUAGGAGGAACACCAGUGGCGAAGGCGGCUUACUGGACAGUAACUGACGUUGAGGCUCGAAAGCGUGGGGAGCAAACA
rnacentral:rRNA from 1 species